UAGGUUCUGCGGGUCAAAGGGAGAGCAGGGUGAGGGCAUGGGGGAAUACAAAUCCAUUGGCGUCCCUCGGCCUGUUCACACCAGCGGUGAGCAGAAGAGGUCGGCGUAGGGGGGUCACGGAUGACAUCACCCUGCCAUGCCCAAAUUAGAUUGCCCAUACCGUCGGUGAAGCAGGCCUCUGGCUCCACUGGGUCUGGCUCUUCCUCUUCCACUUCCUCUGGUUCAGGCUCAGGUGGUUGAUAGUCCACUGUGCUGCAUACCGAAGAAUCCCCAUCAUUUAUUGCACCCAUCAGCUGGUCAAGAAUCACAAGUGCGUAAGGUAUUCAAAGUCUGACUCUCCCUGGGCGAUUGGCACAUUGAGACUGAGCUCUCCAUCCACAAUAAAUCCAGAAGGCCGGCCUUCCACCAAACAAUUAGGGGCCGCGCCCUCCAUGGCAGCGUCCUCUUGCUCCUUGGGGUUUCUGCCUAGAAUCUGCAGAACGGUUUGCAUGGCAAACGCUUUGAACCAGUUGAUGCCCCGUGUGAUCCUGCCGAUGGCAAUCUGGAGGUUGUUCAUCUCCCCGUCCUCCUCCGUCGAAAGGUUGUCUCCGCUGAACGAGCUGAGCAGCAGGGCCAGGAAGAGGUUCAGCACCUGGAGAAAGGAAAACGUGAAAGUCACUUAUCACUGGGUCAAAGUGUGCCGACAGCGCUGAACUAAGCAAAGAAGUCUGGACCGGCUCAUUGGGCUUGGAUGAUGCAUCGGUAAACAUUAUGUUGUCUGCCUCCGGUUGCAGACGUAGCUAUCUUUAGUUUCUUAAACCUGUUAGCCAGUUUCUCGGUUCCUGUUGCCCAGGUUUAGCGGGAGAUCACGGUUACAUGGGCUGAUCCCCUGCUUCGAAUUUAGUUCCUUUAGAGCAGCUCUAAUAAACCGGAUGAUGUGAGAAGUUU